UGAGAACCAGAUAGAAAACGCAGACAGCAUUGCGGAGAUCGGUGCCGAGCUGCUGGAUGACGAAGGCGAAGCUGCGGGAGACCUUCUGGAGCAUGGUAUAGCAGAAGGCCCAGUGGGGAUCCGACGGGAUCUGCUUCUCCACCUGCGCCGCCGCCCUCUUCAUCUUCACCAGCACGUACAGAUCCUCCGGGUGCAUCAGCGCCUCCU
rnacentral:misc_RNA from 1 species